UCAGUAAAGAUGAAGCAGAGCACAUAAAAGACAAAGGGUUUAGACUUCUGUUGGUCACUGAGAAAAAGAAAAAAACAACAACACAAAUCAUGAAGUAGACUUGUAAAAGAAAAAAGGAGGAUAAGGCAGGAGGUUUUCCCAGUUUUUAUUGGCUCCAUUCCUUUUCCAGAAACAGAACCUGAAGGACAAAAAGGAAAGAGAACUGCCUGUUCUUUACCUACAUGCUAUCUUGUUUCUCUCUCUUCUCAUCAUGAGUGGAGGGUGGAUAAAAAGAGUGUGGAAGAAGGAGGAGAAUGUGAUGAAAGACUGCACAGAAUGGCAUCGGCUCCCCUCCAAUGAGAGCUUCCAAUGAAAAACCCGAGUACAGCAAGCAUUCUCAGCUUCAACCAAACCAGCCAUCUCCAUGUGCCAAACCUGGUGUCAGUGCUGUGGAGCUGCUUUACAGAACUGGAUAUGCUACAUAGGACCCAAGAAUUCACAUACCUGGAAGGCAGCAAGUCAUGGGUAACAGUCAGGAGUACUGGGGAUUUUCAUCAGCCAGACAGCAUAUGCCAUGUCUUAAGUGACCAGGCCUCCCCAUCCCCAGGUCAUUAUGGCUUCCAGGAAAUAAAGUUAACCACACCAGCAUGGCAGGUGCCUCAGAACAUAACGCUGGAAUGGUAUGACUCCAAUGCAGGUGGCAACUGUUAA
rnacentral:lncRNA from 1 species